AUUGAACGCUGGCGGCAUGCCUUACACAUGCAAGUCGAACGGCAGCACGGGAGCAAUCCUGGUGGCGAGUGGCGAACGGGUGAGUAAUGUAUCGGAACGUACCUUUCAGUGGGGGAUAACGUAGCGAAAGUUACGCUAAUACCGCAUAUUCUGUGAGCAGGAAAGCAGGGGAUCGCAAGACCUUGCGCUGAUUGAGCGGCCGAUAUCAGAUUAGCUAGUUGGUGAGGUAAAGGCUCACCAAGGCGACGAUCUGUAGCGGGUCUGAGAGGAUGAUCCGCCACACUGGAACUGAGGCACGGUCCAGACUCCUACGGGAGGCAGCAGUGGGGAAUUUUGGACAAUGGGCGCAAGCCUGAUCCAGCCAUGCCGCGUGAGUGAAGAAGGCCUCGGUUG
rnacentral:rRNA from 1 species